AGAGUUUGAUCCUGGCUCAGAGCGAACGUUAGCGGCGGGCCUAACACAUGCAAGUCGAGCGAGAAAGGGGUUUCGGCCCUGAGUAAAGCGGCGGACGGGUGAGUAACACGUAGGUAAUCUUCCCUUGAGCGGGGGACAACGGUCCGAAAGGACCGCUAAUACCGCAUACGUUUCUGGGGCCCUUGGGCCUCGGAAGGAAA
rnacentral:rRNA from 1 species